GUCCGCCCGCUCGUAACGCGACCCCAGGUCAGGCGGGGCUACCCGCUGAGUUUAAGCAUAUCAAUAAGCGGAGGAAAAGAAACUAACCAGGAUUCCCC
rnacentral:rRNA from 1 species